GUUAUCAAGAAAGGUGGAGGGACUAGACCCGUUGAAGCCUUGGCAACCCUCUAAAUUUUAUAUCGGAGUAGGUGCUAAAUUCUACUUUUUUUGUAAAAAGAUAGAUA
rnacentral:ncRNA from 1 species